GCAGGUAGAACCCUCCCAGGUUGUUUUCAGUGUGGGUGAAGGUUACAAAGGAUGAUUGUUUACAGUGGCUCUAUCCCCCGUCCCCCAGCCAUCCCCCACCCGACCCCUGCUGAUUCUGAUUCAAUGCAGUUUUUACCUGUAUCAAACUGGGAUGAAAGCCUCUCCUUCUGAACUGAUUUUGCCUUCCCCUCCCCCACCCCCGUUUAUUUCUGUUGCUGUUUCUUGGGGGGGGGGGGGGGGAUGGGGGAUGUUAGACCACUUUCAGAUUAGCUGCCACCUGCCUGUGUCUGUGACACUGGACCUGCCUCCCAGGUGUCUGCACACCCUUCCUCUGAAGGACUCCUUUGGCUUUGUUGAAUGAAGCAGAGAAGAUUGUAUAGUUGGGGCUGGUCUUGGUGAACACACUUUUUUUUUCUUUUUUCUUUUCUUUUUCUACCCCAGGCACCCCCUUUUUGUAGAAAGCCAAAUAAAAUAUAUACAUACCAUUUCCUUUAGAGCCCAGAAUCUAGAUUUGAGCGGAAGAGCGCGUGUGCUUCAGGGAAGUAGUGUCUCCUUUUGGAAAUCUAUUGAAGUAAAGUGACAUCGGCCUUCUGUUCAGUUAGGCAACAUUUGUAAAAAACAAAAACAAAAACAAAACAAAAUAAAUACCGUCUGGAGUUAAAAUACAGCUCUCCUGGAUCGGAAACCAAGUGGGGGGGGGGGGAAAUACAGAAACUUUCAGGGGGAUGGGAGGGGGGGGAGAAGGGAAAAGCCAGCUCUUUGUAUAGAAGUUUUGCUUUUGUUUUUCAUUCUGCUUUAGAACCGCAAGCUUGUGCACUGUGGAUGCGUGAAUAUUUUAGUGUGAAACGUGUUUUUGUCAUAGUAUUGAAAUAAAACUUCAACAUAGUUUGGUUGUGGAAGGUAUAGCAGAUAGUUCAGAAAAAAAUAAAAAAAAAACAAACAAACAACUAUUCAGGAAACAAAACAAACAAAUCCCAAAAGGAAACCGGAAUCAAAGCCUUUCAAUAGGCAAUAAAACACAGUGAUGCUGAUGAAGAGGCCACCAAGCCAACUGAUGUCCCCCAAGACAGAGUGUUCCUUUCCCAAACUUUCCCAAAAAGUGACAAGAGGUUUGGAUGGCCAGACGUCCCCGUGUUCACUCUGUGGGCCACACACCCCAGUGUUCUGACACUUCUGCAGUGUGACCAGUGGUGAUACUAGAUUAUAAUUUCAAACUGUGAAAAAUAAUGGUCUUGUCAUUUGCUCAGUGUGGGGUUAUUUUGCAUUUUCUCAGCUCCCGGGGAUGGAAAUGGAGGAUCCCAGAACACUCAGCAGGGCACCUUUCAUUCCAGGGCCCACACAGAUCCACAGUCCACAUGCACUGGUCUUCAGGAAGAGCUGACAGGUAGACAACUCUGAGGGCACAUAGCAGAAUGGGAGCGGUGGCUAGCACCUGAGCCAGGUCCUCGUGGUGUGGGCAGACUCCCCAGGCCACAGCCUGUCCUGGGAAAUCUCUUUCCCAUAUUAUGAAGUCGGUGGCUUGACCCACUAGGCCAAGGGCACACUGUACCUCCUGGAAAUGGUGUAUUUCACUCUGU
rnacentral:lncRNA from 1 species